AAAAAAAAAAAUCUCUCUCUAUUUUGUCGUGCGUGCGUACGGGCGUGCGUUGUUAGAUGGUGACUGUCUGAAGAAAAGAUCGGUCCCUCCUCUCCGUAAACAUCUCUCUCUCUCUCUCUCUCUCUCUCUCUCUCUCUCUCUCUCUCUCUCCCUGCGAAUCUUUGCUUUUGGCAAUCGUGUGCGGAGGAACUAUGAGCGUGGCAUCAACGUCCGAGGAAUCUCCCGAUUCAGCUCAGCGGAUCGAUUCGUUCAACGGCGAGCAGAGCGUCUAUUUCGUCCCCUUCAGGUGGUGGAAAGAUGCUCAAGAGUCAGUGCCUUGUGAAUCUGUUGAGAAAAGAGAGAUCUUGUAUACAGCAGCGACUACUGGGUCGUCUUACGGAGGCCCUAUGAAGUUGAUUAACAACAUCUUUAACUCCGAUAUCUUGUUUGAUCUGAGGAGAGAAGGUGAUGAUGCGUUACAGAGUAAUGACACGGGAGAAGCAAGCGUCUCAGGCAGGGACUUUGCUUUGGUCUCAAGUGACAUGUGGCUGCAGGCACUCAAAUGGCACCAUAACGAUAAAAUUAAUGAGAAAGGCGUGAAAAGUUUCUCCACUGGAGGCGUUGACAGAGGCGAUGUUUAUCCAGUACAACUCAGGCUCUCCGUCUUGCAGGAAACCAAUUCAUUGGCGGUUAAAAUUUGCAAAAAGGACAAUUCAGUUGAGUGCUUCAGACGAGCAUGCAAGAUAUUCAGUUUGGAUUCGGAGCAGCUGCGCAUUUGGGAUAUUUCUGGGCAAACAACCUUGUUUUUCCAAAAAGAUAUGAACAAUUCCAAGGCUUGCCAACAACAAACAGAUCAAGAAAUUCUUCUAGAGCUGCAGAUUUAUGGGUUAUCAGACUCCAUCAACUUGAAGGAAUCUAAAAAAGAAGAUGGUUCCACACAUCAAACCAACGGAAUUACCAAUGGCACAACUUUCAGAUUUGGACGGAGUCAUUCUUUGAGCUUUUUGGGAAAAGCUGGAGAAGCCGGAACUUUGGGGCUGACAGGCUUGCAGAAUCUAGGAAAUACUUGUUUCAUGAACAGCUCCCUUCAGUGCUUGGCUCACACACCAAAGCUUGUUGAUUUCUUUCUUGGAGAGUACAUCAGAGAAAUAAAUCUGGAGAACCCAUUGGGAAUGAAAGGUGAGAUCGCCUUAGCUUUUGGUGACUUGUUAAGGAGUUUGUGGGCUCCAGGUGCAUCAACAGUGACCCCAAGGACAUUUAAAGCAAAACUUGGCCGCUUUGCUCCUCAGUUUAGUGGCUUUAAUCAGCAUGAUUCGCAGGAACUUCUAGCUUUCUUGCUGGAUGGACUUCACGAGGACUUAAACCGUGUAAAGAACAAGCCAUAUGUGGAAGCAAAAGAUGGAGAUGGCCGUCCAGACGAAGAAGUGGCUGAUGAAUAUUGGCGAAAUCAUAUGGCUCGGAACGAUUCAAUAAUUGUUGAUGUGUGCCAAGGCCAGUACAAGUCAACAUUAGUUUGUCCUAUUUGCAAAAAGGUUUCGGUUAUGUUUGAUCCGUUCAUGUACCUAUCGCUACCUUUGCCAUGCACGUCAAUUCGAACAAUGGAUUUAACAGUCAUGAGUGCCGAUGGAGGUAGUCUGCCUGUCUCAGUGACUGUCAACGUUCCCAAGUUUGGAAAAUUUGAAGAUCUUCAGAAAGCUCUUGUAACUGCCUGCUCUUUGCCAGAGGACGAGACUUUAAUGGUUACUGAGGUGUACAACAAUCGGAUUCUUCGUGUCCUGGAGGAUCCUAGUGAUUCAUUGUCCUUGAUCAGAGAUGGUGACAAACUUGUCGUGUAUCGGUUAAAGAAAGAUGCAAACGAUUCUCCUUUGAUUGUAUUUAUGCAUCAGAAGCUGGAAGAGCAGUUCAUCUGUGGGAAAUCAAGCCCAACUUGGAAGGGAUUUGGAAUCCCCUUGGUCUCGAGGCUUUGUGAUGUCGAGAAUGGAUUUGAUGUUGAGAAGAUGUACCUUAAGUUGCUUAGUUCAUUUAAGAUGCCUAGUGAAGUCUUCACAGAGAAUCUUGAAAAUCCUACCGAAGAAGAAGCAACUGAAAAAGCAGGUACGGAUGGUACUACUUCAGCUGAGGAUAAAAAUUCCACUGAUGUGAAGGAGACUACUGAGUCUGUUCCAGACCCUGUGUUGAGGCUUUACCUAACCGACGACAUAGGAGGCUCAAUAGAAUCUGAGAUAUUGAAAGAAAAGCCUGUAAAUAUCAAAUCCAAGCGGUUGAAUGUGCUUGCACGUUGGCCAGUAAAAGAGCUAGACGUUUAUGAUACUUGUCUUCUGAGCUCCUUGCCUGAGGUUUCCAAAUUUGGAACUAAGAGGCCCCAGGAAACCGUCUCGCUUUACAAGUGCCUUGAAGCAUUCUUGACGGAGGAGCCUCUUGGUCCUGAUGACAUGUGGUAUUGUCCUGGCUGUAAAGAACACCGACAAGCCAUUAAAAAGUUGGAUCUCUGGAGGUUGCCAGAGAUACUGGUGAUUCAUCUGAAGAGGUUUUCUUAUAGCCGGUUUAUGAAGAACAAGCUGGAGGCCUUUGUGGAUUUCCCGAUAGAUGGUUUUGAUCUGUCAAGCUACAUCUCAUACAAGAAUGGUCAGACGACUUAUCGCUACAUGCUCUAUGCGAUUAGCAAUCACUAUGGAGGCAUGGGAGGUGGUCAUUACACUGCAUAUGUCCACCAUGGGGGAGAUCGAUGGUAUGACUUUGAUGAUAGCCAUGUCAAUCAGAUCAGCCAAGAAAAGAUCAAGACGUCGGCUGCUUACGUUCUGUUUUAUAAACGUUUAGUAGAAGAAUAAUGAACCAGAAGCUGAAAGAAGAAGAAAGAGUACAUGAUAAAGAUCAGAGCAGCUGUGUGUUGAGGCUUGCAAACAGAAGAAGAAGAAGAGCUGAGGACAUGUUGCGGGGAAUUCAUUUUAUUUAUACAAAAGUUGGUGUCUGAUUAUAUCAUUGAACAAUCUUCAAUUUAGAGUAGGAAGAAUAGAGAAAUGCGUUUGAACAAAACCCUAAACCCUUAAAUUGUCCAGUCUUGUGACUGACCAUAAGAGUGUCUGUCGAAAUGAAUGCCAUCACAACCUCAAGGGUUCGAUUUCGCUUGGAUAUAACCCUAACUUAGAAACAUCUGCCUCGAGAAAAUAGUUUUGCUGGAUUCUGUUGAUGUAGAACUGUUACUUGGGGUUUAUGCAUGCUUCCAGUUACAUAUGGUUAUGGGAGAACGUAAUAUACAGUAUUGCAAUCUCUAUGAGUUAGGGACGUGCAAAUCCAUUGGAGGGUGUUCCACCUGCUGUUAAAACAGAUUUGACUAAAAAAAUAUAAUGAGACGAGUAAAACCAGAAUGGUACGUGCUGCUGACAUGGUGCAGCUUCCGGGAGUGAAGAAGGCACCAAAGAAGCGAAUAGCUGCAAUGCUUGAACCAACUGUUGAAAGUUUGAGCGGUGAAGAUGGCGAGCCGGUAGCAGAAAAUGAAGAAGAAAAUGAAUCAGACGCUGAAGACUCAGAAGAAGCAACUAAUGGAGAAAAGCUGGAGUCAAAUCUAAAAAUCUGAAUGCCAGAGGGAUCCAAGUUGAUAUGGAUUUGAAAGGGGCUGGAACCUCAGGUUCAAGAAAGGCAGCUGGCAGAGGCAGAGGCAGAGGCAAAGCCGCAGAAGCUGAGAAGGCGCCGGUUCCAAGAGAAAGAGAUGAGAAGCCAAAGACGUCUCGUUUUUUCAGGCAAGAUUAUCAAAGAAAUGUAUCUUUCUGGAAUGUUCAUGUUCAGGUAGGCUUUUUUGUUAGUUUUCUUUUCCAGGAUUGACAAAUGAAUUUGUGCUGUUUCUGGUGGUAUGUAAGGGUGGAUUCUAGACUCCUAGUUUGUAUCGAACACACAAGGCCAAUACCUUUUUGAACUAUGGGAAUAAGCAUCUGCUCCCACCUAUAAUGCACC